rnacentral:pre_miRNA from 1 species
AUAAUACUCCCUCCGUCCGAAAAUACUUGUCAUCAAAAUGGAUAAGAAGGGGUGUAUCUAUAACUAAAAUACGUCUAGAUACAUCCCCUUUUAUUUAUUUUGGUGACAAGUAUUUCCGGACGGAGGGAGUACCUG